rfam:Sphingobacteriales bacterium 46-32 scnpilot_p_inoc_scaffold_90, whole genome shotgun sequence.
GCUGCAGACCGGGUUAUCGCGUCCCGAUUUUUUCGGGAGGAGGAAAGUCCGGACAGCACAGAGCAUUGUACCGGUGAAGAGCCGGGUGGCGGUUUUCGCCAACAGAAAGUGCCACAGAAAAUAACCGUCUCCUGUAGCAAUACAGGCGAUAAGGGUGAAAACGUGAGGUAAGAGCUCACGGCAGUAGCUGGUAACAGCUAUUGCGGGUAAACCUUACAUGCUGAAAUGCCACGUAUAUCCCCGUUCGGCUCCGGUUGCAAAACCGGCCCGGGGUGAGUGACUCGCUCACUAUUCUACGGAAUGCAGGGAAGGGUAGGCAGAUUGAUCCUGCAGGGUAACCUGCAGGACAGAUAAAUGAUAGCCGCCCGGUGAAAACCGGGAACAGAAUCCGGCUUACAGGUCUGCAGCCACU